AUGUCUGGCCCCAAAAUAACCCCUGCUCAUUCAAGACCUCUGCGGGACAGCCCCAUCUCUGUACGGUCAUUACAUGAUGCUGUUGAAAUGAGGGACAGUGGCGUCGAUGCAUCUGGUGGAAGCAGUGCUGUAAGUAUAAACCAAACACCUCAUUAAAAAAAGAAAAGAAAAUGAACAUUUCAUAUGUAUUCUUUUUUUUUUUCAUUGCUGUUGUUUUUUGUUUUUGGUCAAAAAAGCUGUCGCUAAACAGUGCAACUGACCUGUGCUAUUUUGCAGGACACUGAGUGCCCAUCCUCAGUGGAGGAGGCUAAUCUUUCACAUCCUCCUCUUCCUCAUCCUCACCCCCUCCCUCAUUGGCCUCCACCCCAACCACCCCAUUUCCCAGUACUUCCUGAUGAAUAGGAUGAAGAAGAGGUAAACGAAAUUUGUUUGUUGUGUAGUUGACAUAGUUGGUUGAUUUUUAGUUUAGUUUUAUUUUUAUUUUUCUCUCCAGUACUUUGCAGACAACGAGGAAGAGGAAUACUGAGGUUCUUUUAAAAAAAUUUUUUAAAAUAAACAUUAUUAAUAAAUAUUUUGUAUAUCUGCA
ensembl:lncRNA